UUCACGGAGAGUUUGAUUCUGGCUCAGAACGAACGCUGGCGGCGUGGAUAAGACAUGCAAGUCGAACGGGAUAUUAUUUGUAGCAAUACAAAUGAUGUCCAGUGGCGUAAGGGUGCGUAACACGUGGGGAAUCUGCCGAGAAGUGGGGGAUAGCUCGCCGAAAGGCGAAUUAAUACCGCAUGUGGUUAGGGAAGACAUCUUUCCGACACCAAAGCCGGGGCAACCUGGCGCUUCUUGAUGACCCCGCGGCCUAUCAGCUAGUUGGUGAGGUAACGGCUCACCAAGGCUAUGACGGGUAGCUGGUCUGAGAGGACGACCAGCCACACUGGAACUGAGACACGGUCCAGACACCUACGGGUGGCAGCAGUCGAGAAUUUUUCUCAAUGGG
rnacentral:rRNA from 1 species